CUUUAUUAUAUUGAACCAAAGUCAUAUUCUUGUAGCUUCCUCUCCUCUCUUUUUCUACUUGGGAAUACGCAGUUUAAGUGUGCUCAGAUCUAGUAUGAUGUGGUUGGAAAGGGCAUGACCUGGAGUAUGACACAUUCUACAUAAACGUCUUGUCAGAACUGUUCAUCUUAUGUGAUCUCUCCUUGCCUCAGUGUUUUUCAUUUGCAAAACUGGAGACAACACACCUUCUUAUAGGUAACUGAGGCCCAAGUGAGACAAGAUACAAAUGGCUUAGCAGAGUGCCUGGCUCAUAUUAAGACAAAUGACAUUAAGCUCCUCCCUCCAUUCAUAUGCUUCCCUGGUGGUUCGGAUGGUAAAGAAUCUGCCUGAAUGUGGGAGACCCAGGUUCUAUCCUUGGGAUGUGAAAAUCCCCUGGAGAAGGGAAUGGCAACCUACUCCAGUAUUCCUGCCUGGAAAAUUCCAUGGACAGUAGAGCCUGGUGGGCUACAGUCCAUAGGGUCACAAAGAGUCAAACAUCACUGAGCUACUUUCACUUCACUUCAUUCUCCAUUCGUUCCCUCUUUCCCUUCCUUCCAUCCGUCCUUCCACAAAACAUUUGCUACGUCUGUAAUCUGUGUUGCCUAGUGUUAAUAGUAAACAAAAUAGACACUAUUUCUUCUCCACAGAGCUUCAGGUAAAUAGGUAUAUUUUUAAAAUAACUUAAAUAUGCAAUUAGAGGUUGUACUGAGUAUAUGGUACUGGGAUAUAGGAGAAAGCUAGAUAGAGAAGAGUCUCCUCUUUAUGAAGAUUUUAUUCUAGGGGACAAGAGAAAACAUAAACAAGAAAUAAGUAAAUGCAAAAGAUAAUAUCAGAUAAUGAUGAGUGCUGUGAAGGAACACAAGCCAAAUGAUGUAAUUAUGAUGGAACAAAUGAAGCCUCUUUGGACUGUGUGACUACAGAGGCUUCUCUGAGGAGGUGGCCUUUGGAUUGAGCCCCAAGAGGCAAGGAGUCGCUGCAUGGAGAUAUGAAGAAGAAUGUCCUAGGAAAAUGGAACAGCUGGACAGAAGGAAUUCAUGUGUCUGAGGAGCAGAAGGAAGGCCUUUGUCACUGGAGCUAAUGGUGCUGAAAGAAGAUCAUCUCUGUGGGGCCAUUACAGGAUAAUGCACAGGAAUAAAUAAGCACAACGAUAGGUCUCAGCAAAGACAACCGGGUCUCAAGUUGGUCCCACAUUUGGAAAUGGUGCAUGUACAAUGAGCAGGUUUAUCGAUGAGAAAUUUAAGCUCAGAAAGGUUUUCUUCCUCUCCCCACAACAGAAGAGCAAAGAAGGAGGAGAGCAGACUAGAGCUUUAAGAAGUAUUUACCCCAGAAAAAAGAGAAACACUUCUAGUGUUUAGUUGAUUUUAUGCAAUGACUUCCUGCUUGUAAUCCUUGGAUAAGUAAAUGUAUAUUUGUCCUUUUCCAUAGUAUAAUAACUGUGUAUUGUCACCUUCCUUAUUUAACUUCUGUGCACAGUAUGUCAUGUGAAAUGCCAGGCUGGAUGAAUCACAAACUGGCAUCAAGUUUACCAGGAGAAAUAUCAACCUCAGAUAUGCAGAUGACACCACUAUAAUAGCAGAAAGUGAAGAGGAACUAAAGAGCCUCUUGAUGAGGGUGAAAGAAGAGAGUGAAAAAGCUGACUUAAAAAUAAACAUUCAAAAAAACCAAGAUCAUGGCAUCCAGUCCUAUCACUUCAUGUCAAAUAGAUGGAGAAAAAGUGGAAACAGUGAGAGAUUUUCUUUUCUUGCACUCCAAAAUCACCGUGUAUGGUGACUGCAGUCAUGAAAUUAAAAGAAUCAUGCUCCUUUGAAGGAAAGUUAUGACCAACCUAAAGAGCAUAUUAAAAAACAGAGAUGUCACUUUGCUGACAAAGGUCCAUAUAGUCAAGGCUAUGGUUUUUCCAGUAGUCAUGUAUGGUUAUGAGAGUUGGACCAUAAAGAAGGCUGAGUGCUGAAAAAUUAAUGCUUUUGAACUGUGGUGCUGGAGAAGACUCUUGAGAGUCCUUAGGACAGCAAGGUGAUCAAACCAGUCAAUCCUAAAAGAAAUCAACCCUAACUAUUCAUUGGAAGGACUGAUGCUAAAGCUCCAGUACUUCGGCCACCUGAUUUGAAGAGCCAGCUCAUCAGAAAAGACCCUGAUGCUGGGAAAGAUUGAGUGUAGGAGAAGAAAGGGGUGACAUAAGAUGAGAUGGUUGGAUGGUAUCAUGGACACAGUGAACAGGAUUUUGAGCAAACUCAGGGAGACAGUGAAGGA
ensembl:lncRNA